rnacentral:rRNA from 1 species
AUUGAACGCUGGCGGCAUGCUUUACACAUGCAAGUCGAACGGCAGCACGGGCUUCGGCCUGGUGGCGAGUGGCGAACGGGUGAGUAAUAUAUCGGAACGUACCCAAGAGUGGGGGAUAACGUAGCGAAAGUUACGCUAAUACCGCAUACGAUCUACGGAUGAAAGUGGGGGAUCGCAAGACCUCAUGCUCCUGGAGCGGCCGAUAUCUGAUUAGCUAGUUGGUGAGGUAAAGGCUCACCAAGGCGACGAUCAGUAGCUGGUCUGAGAGGACGACCAGCCACACUGGAACUGAGACACGGUCCAGACUCCUACGGGAGGCAGCAGUGGGGAAUUUUGGACAAUGGGCGCAAGCCUGAUCCAGCAAUGCUGCGUGAGUGAAGAAGGCCUUCGGGUUGUAAAGCUCUUUUGUCAGGGAAGAAACGGUAGAGGCUAAUAUCCUUUGCUAAUGACGGUACCUGAAGAAUAAGCACCGGCUAACUACGUGCCAGCAGCCGCCGUAA